rnacentral:rRNA from 1 species
UAAUACGUAGGGUGCAAGCGUUAAUCGGAAUUACUGGGCGUAAAGCGUGCGCAGGCGGUUUGUUAAGUCAGCUGUGAAAUCCCCGGGCUCAACCUGGGAAUGGCAGUUGAGACUGGCAGGCUGGAGUGUGUCAGAGGGGGGUAGAAUUCCACGUGUAGCAGUGAAAUGCGUAGAGAUGUGGAGGAAUACCGAUGGCGAAGGCAGCCCCCUGGGAUAACACUGACGCUCAUGCACGAAAGCGUGGGGAGCAAACAGG